AUUGAUCGCUGUCGGCAGGCCUAACACAUGCAAGUCGAGCGAGUGGCAGACGGGUGUGUAGUGUCUGGGAAACUGCCUGCUGGAGGGGGAUAACUCCUGAAAACUGUCGCUUAUACCGCAUACCAUCAGAUGUGCCCAGAUGGGAUUAGCUAGUAGGUGGGGUAAUGGCUCACCUAGGCGACGAUCCCUAGCUGGUCUGAGAGGAGGACCAGCCACACUGGAACUGAGACACGGUCCAGACUCCUACGGGAGGCAGCAGUGGGGAAUAUUGCACAAUGGGCGCAAGCCUGAUGCAGCCAUGCCGCGUGUGUGAAGAAGGCCUUCGGGUUGUAAGGCACUUUCAGCGAGGAGGCGUUACUCGCAGAAGAAGCACCGGCUAACUCCGUGCCAGCAGCCGCGGUAAUUC
rnacentral:rRNA from 1 species